rnacentral:rRNA from 2 species
AUUAAACAAGCAAGAGUUUUUGGUGGAUGCCUUGGGUCUGGAAGUCGAUGAAGGACGUGAUUACCUGCGAUAAGCCUCGGUUAGCUGGAAAUAAGCUGUUAUCCGGGGAUUUCCGAAUGGGGAAACCUAAUUGAGCUAAUCCUCAAUUAUCAUAUCGAUGAAUUCAUAGUCGAAUGAAGAGACACGCUGUGAAUUGAAACAUCUCAGUAGCAGCAGGAAGAGAAAAUAAAGAAUGAUUCCCUAAGUAGUGGCGAGCGAACGGGGAAGAGCCCAAACCAACACAUGUUGUUGGGGUUGUAGGACUGCGACAUGGAUUAAUGAAUUUGUACAUAGCAGAAUAAGUUGGAACGCUUAAACAUAGAGGGUGAAAUUCCCGUAAGCGAAAUGUAUAAAUCUCCUAGCAGUAUCCUGAGUAGGGCGGGGCACGUGAAACCCUGUCUGAAUUUGCCGGGACCACCCGGUAAGGCUAAAUACUAACCAGACACCGAUAGUGAACUAGUACCGUGAGGGAAAGGUGAAAAGAACCCAGAGAUGG